rnacentral:lncRNA from 7 species
AAGGUUCAUGAGUAGUUGUCUCCUUCCCCUUGUUUCCUCAUACAUCAAAGCAGGACACAUGCAUGCCACUGAUCGUCGUGUCGUCCCAUGCAUGGAGCUAGCUAGCGAGAGCUCCAUAAAGCUGUAACUUUACAACUCUGCCUCCAUGCAUGUUCUGAUUUAUAUAUUCCAACUGCACAGGUUUUUAUGAAACAUUUCCAUGAAUGUGUAGCAUGCAUGCAGUAGAGAGCCUACAUAUAUAUAUGACAUUGCAUUUGGAUCAUAUAAAGAGAUGUUUUGCGAAAUUAUUUGGUAGACUGAGCAGAUUUGCAGAGAAUUGGAACAAGCAGAGAAGACGAUGUGCAUACAAAACAUAUUCACAUCCAAGUGAUCGAUGGCAUUAACUUUAAUUUGUUGGCGACGCUCUCACUUAUGAAGCUAUGAUAGAGAUAUACAGGUUGUGGUAUGGUAGCAGACUGGUCGGCUUGGCCAGUAUGUAAAGAGUCAAGUUCCUUAUGUACUGGCUAGAUACAUACGUGGACUAUGAUAGAGAUAUACAGGUUGUGGUAUGGUAGCAGACUGGUCGGCUUGGCCAGUAUGUAGAGUCAAGUUCCUUAUGUACUGGCUAGAUACAUACGUGGACUUUUGUUUGGUUGUUCGCAUUAGUAUAUUCAGGUUAGAUAUAGCUAGUGUUUGGUUGUUUGAAUAAGAACAAAGAUCAAAUAAAUAAAUAAAUAAAUAAAUCUUCAAUAUU